rnacentral:rRNA from 1 species
GACGAACGCUGGCGGCGUGCUUAACACAUGCAAGUCGAACGGAAAGGCCCUGCUUUUGUGGGGUGCUCGAGUGGCGAACGGGUGAGUAACACGUGAGUAACCUGCCCUUGACUUUGGGAUAACUUCAGGAAACUGGGGCUAAUACCGGAUAGGAGCUCCUGCUGCAUGGUGGGGGUUGGAAAGUUUCGGCGGUUGGGGAUGGACUCGCGGCUUAUCAGCUUGUUGGUGGGGUAGUGGCUUACCAAGGCUUUGACGGGUAGCCGGCCUGAGAGGGUGACCGGCCACAUUGGGACUGAGAUACGGCCCAGACUCCUACGGGAGGCAGCAGUGGGGAAUACUGCACAAUGGGCGGAAGCAUGAUGCAGCAACGCCGCGUGCGGGAUGACGGCCUUCGGGUUGUAAACCGCUUUCGCCUGUGACGAAGCGUGAGUGACGGUAAUGGGUAAAGAAGCACCGGCUAACUACGU